rnacentral:lncRNA from 1 species
UUCAUUCAAAGUGUUUUAUUCCAUUCAAAUGAUCAAUUACAUUAUUACAAUCCAUCAUACAUUGUUCAUUACAUGGAAAUUUAAAAAAAAAUCGCAUUUAUGACUGAAUGUUGACUUUGGUCAACUUUGACCAAAGUCAACCCGAAUUAUCCAAAUCCUAGUCCUAAAUCCCGAGAUUUAAUUGGCCCUUGAAUCUUUUCCAUUAUGGUGCUUCCAAGUUCAACAUUGGUGUCAUUAGCUUCCAAGUUCAACACAUGAGCCAAAAGAAGUCACCUGCAGUACAUGAAGCAUUAUCGAGUAUGCCAAGCUGCUAGAAUCAAACAUGAAGCAAGGUGGGAUUAAGACAUGAACAAAAGUACACAAACAACAAACCUGCAAUUAACCAAGACAGAACCAUGCUACAAGCGGCGAACCAUCUCACAAGCUGGAACUCCUACGCCGUGGUCUAAGAUUCCGCGUCGCUCAGUUCAAGGCUUAACUGUCGUUAUGGGAUAGACCCUGCAAAAC